AUUUCAUGGACUAAAUUGGACAAAGCAAGCAAACAAUCUCCUUCGCAUUGAUUUCCAAAUCAAAUCAUUGUUAAUCACAUCAAUAUUCCCUGCUGAUUCAACAAUCUCCGUGGCCAGCUUUCUGGCUCAAACAAGCUCCUCCGCAUGGAUGCUGUGGAGCCCUCUGUGCGUGCUGCCCAGGUUUGCUAUUAAUUAUUGUUGGAAGCAUUCAAGUCUGAUUCUCUCACCUCUUCUUUCUCACUCCUUUUCCCCUCAUGCAGCAAGGAAGAAACUGAAAUACCAUUCUUCACUUGACAUUGGAUUUCUAACCUCUCUCAGUGAUGUGAGCCUAGUGCUAAAAUACAGAUCCAGGGCACCACUGGCUUACCUGUAAGCAAUCACAAUGCCUCAGCUGCUGGGAAACGUGGCAGACAUUUCAGUGUGGAGGAACUGUGUGCAGGAGAGAGUGCUCUGGUUUGCAGUGGGAAGCUGGUGUGAGGAAUUAAAGCUCCUGUUGUGACAGAGAUGACAACAAAAGCAGAAAACUUCCUCGUGCAGAAGGAAAACCCGUCAACUGAGACAUUCAGAGUUCUUGAAUAAUUAAAGCCACUUUACAUCCAGGAUGAUCCAUAAAGGAAGGCAUUUGGCAUGUGAAAAGCUGAAAAGAGUGGAAGACUUUGGGGUAUCAGCAGUGAGCAGCAAGCAACUGAGAUUGUUAAUGCUACAGUAAGCCGCCUCCUUUGCACAUCUCUACGGGAUCAUGGAAAGAGGCCAAUUGCUGGAUUUCUGUACUUUAUCUUGAUUAAAUGGCUGUUUCAAUUUGGUA